rnacentral:rRNA from 1 species
GCGUGACGCCCAGGCAGACGUGCCCUCAGCCGGAAGGCUUCGGGCGCAACUUGCGUUCAAAAA